GAUGAACGCUAGCUACAGGCUUAACACAUGCAAGUCGAGGGACCGGCGCACGGGUGAGUAACACGUAUCCAACCUUCCCUUUACUCGGGGAUAGCCUUUCGAAAUAAAGAUUAAUACCCGAUAUAAAGGAUGGGGAUGCGUUCCAUUAGGUUGUUGGUGAGGUAACGGCCAACCAAGCCUUCGAUGGAUAGGGGUUCUGAGAGGAAGGUACCCUACAUUGGAACUGGGACACAGUCCAAACUCGUACGCGAGGCAGGAGUGAGGAAUAUUGGUCAAUGGGCGGUAGCCUGAACCAGCCAAGUAGCGUGAAGGAUGAAGGGUUAUGGGUCGUAAACUUCUUUUAUAUAAGAAUAUGUAUUAUAUGAAUAAGGAUCGGCUAACUCCGUGCCAGCAGCCGCGGUAAUUC
rnacentral:rRNA from 1 species